AUAGGUUUGAGAGUUUGAUCCUGGCUCAGGACGAACGCUGGCGGCGUGCCUAAUACAUGCAAGUCGAGCGGGUUUCAGGAGGCUUGCCUUCUGGAAUCAGCGGCGGACGGGUGAGUAACACGUGGGCAAUCUGCCUGUCAGACCGGAAUAACGCCUGGAAACGGGUGCUAAUGCCGGAUAGAGCA
rnacentral:rRNA from 1 species